rnacentral:lncRNA from 1 species
UUUUUGUAAUACACCUACAGGGACUCGAAUCCCUUCCCUCACAAAUAUGAGGGAGUGGUUCUAACCAUUGUUUGACAGAUUCUAAUUUAAAGAAUUUUGCGGUGUGGCCGUGGCGGUCAUUUUGAUCGUGCGAAACAUGUCGUUUUCAAAUUUUCACUUUGGCAAAUCCGACGAUUAUCACUAUGUUUAAUUGGACGGCUGUGAUUUGUUUGUCUUCAACAACUUUACAGGCACUUAUUUGUUCUUUGAGUAGAUUCUUUUACACCACUCAAAAUUCCACGUAAAACUUAUCUUUGGUGGAAAUUAUCUAAAUAAUUAAAGAUA